rnacentral:rRNA from 1 species
UACAUGGGGUGCAAACGUUGCUCGGAAUUAUUGGGCGUAAAGCGCACGUAGGCGGUUUGUUAAGUCGGAUGUGAAAUCCCUCGGCUCAACUGAGGAAGUGCAUCCGAAACUGGCAGGCUUGAGUACUAAAGAGGGUCGCGGAAUUCCCGGUGUAGAGGUGAAAUUCGUAGAUAUCGGGAGGAACACCGGUGGCGAAGGCGGCGCCCUGGGUAGAUACUGACGCUGAGGUGCGAAAGCGUGGGGAGCGAACAGG